rnacentral:lncRNA from 1 species
UAUUGAUGACAUGACAUGUUAUGCAUAAGUUUAUGCAUAAGUUCAUGAUGACGUGUUGCAAGUAUUCAUGAUGAAUAUUGCAAUGACUUGAAUUCAGUUUGAAUUCAAGGUUCUAUCAAUAUGGCAUAUUCAUAGCGGGAGUUUGUUUAAACUCCGGGAGUUAAGUUUAACUCCGUCAUCAAGUGGUUGUCAUCAUCAAAAAG